AAUACAGGAUAUGUCGUAUUGACUUUUUCUUUUCAAAGUGUUUGUGCACUUUUCAAUCUAAUCCGACAUUCCUCUGACUCUAACCUCCGCUUUUGACGUGCGUUACAAUAUAAAAGCGGGCAUUUGAGUCAGAGAAAUCUCGGGAUAUUAUCUGUCCAAUGUAUUUUCACGUGUAUGUUUUGCACACUACUCUUUUGAAUUUCUAUUUAUUAUUAUGUAUAUGUAUGUCUUAUUUUGUAUUGAACAACACACCACACACUGUAAAAGGGGUGGGGGUCCAAAGGCACACAAGAGUAGAAUGUUGUAAUUAGAGUGCAUGUUUGCAUGAUGAUAACUUUACCCUAAAUAUUUGAAUAUAGCAGAUCUUUACCAUAUCACCUCCACUUAAUUAAUGAAUUAAAGAACUCAGACAGGCUUGUGCUUAAUUAAAUAAAUAUAUUUGACAUGGUAAAUAUUCAGUCUAAUUAAAAUUAGAACUUUUGUCUGGCUCGCCGUUAUAUAUGAUUAUCGGCUGUGAAAGAGCAUGUAAAACAGAGUGCAAGAUGAAAAGAACUUUAAGUUCAGAUUUUAGGUUAAUGUUCCCUGAUAUCUAUAAAACAUUCUUCUCAAGAUUUGAUUAUUUUCCAGAACAUUGUAAAUUCUUUGAGAUUAGUUUAUCUUUUAUAUAUAUUGAAUUUUAUUGAUUCAUUUUAGGUAAACUUUACAUGCAGAACACAUCUACAUUGUAAACAAUUUUUACAGUAUGUGCUGACACUUUCCGGAACAUUUUGUGCCGUUUCGGGACGGUUUCAUGUUUUAUGUUUUGUUUACGUUUAGCCAACGUCAGCCUGGUGGCUCACGACUCGGUCGUCCUAUGUAUUGCUCAAUUGCAACUUGAUUUUGUGGCCCCAUGGAGUAAGUUUAUCAUAAUAUUGUGUGAAUGUAUGCUCUGCUUAAAUUCAGAAAUGUUUCAGUGAAAUUUUCUAAUGUUUACUAUUUUUUCGUUGUGAUCAUGGUGAAGAGGAAAUUCGAAUGCAAAAUGUUGUCAAAUCUAAAUCUGUAAUUGCGAAAUUUAUUGUGAAAUUUAUUCAUCUAUUUUGUUAUGAGCAUAUUGUGAUUGUUGUUUUUAUUUGUUUUUUCAGUUUUUUACCCUUUAAUGUCUCGUCAUUAAAUAAACAAGUAAACUGUUUAUUGUGAGUUUUUUGGACCUGGCGAGGCAAGGGUUAUAUUUAAAAAGUCCAUAUUCAGGACAGCACACAGUAAGACAAAUCUAUUGGUGGCCACAUGGUUUUUACCUGUUGAUUCUUUUCAGCUCUUGAGGUUAACCUGUCACCUCUACCCACAUGCAUAUUCCUUAAUGUGUUCUACAGACUAUUUACCAGUAAUUCAAAUUAAAUAUAAUCGGAUAAUUCAUGAACAGUUACUGUAAUGGAACUUUAAGAAAGCAUCAUGCCUUGUUGUGGUUUGUGUUUGAUAAGAAAUUAUAACAAACAAAAUUAUGGCUGUUUAAAGUAAUUUACAAUUGUUAGCUGUGAAAAUUUGUUUUUCAAUAAAAGUAUGCAAUUAU